rnacentral:rRNA from 1 species
CAGUAGCCGCGGUAAUACGUAGGUGACAAGCGUUGUCCGGAUUUAUUGGGCGUAAAGCGAGCGCAGGCGGUCAAUUAAGUCUGAUGUGAAAGCCCGCGGCUCAACCGGGGAGGGUCAUUGGAAACUGGUUGACUUGAGUGCAGAAGAGGAGAGUGGAAUUCCAUGUGUAGCGGUGAAAUGCGUAGAUAUAUGGAGGAACACCAGUGGCGAAGGCGACUCUCUGGUCUGUAACUGACGCUGAGGCUCGAAAGCGUGGGUAGCAAACAGGAUUAGAUACCCCCGUAGUCCCUGUCUCUUAUAC